rnacentral:rRNA from 1 species
GAUGAACGCUGGCGGCGUGCCUAAUACAUGCAAGUCGAGCGAACGGACGAGAAGCUUGCUUCUCUGAUGUUAGCGGCGGACGGGUGAGUAACACGUGGAUAACCUACCUAUAAGACUGGGAUAACUUCGGGAAACCGGAGCUAAUACCGGAUAAUAUUUUGAACCGCAUGGUUCAAAAGUGAAAGACGGUCUUGCUGUCACUUAUAGAUGGAUCCGCGCUGCAUUAGCUAGUUGGUAAGGUAACGGCUUACCAAGGCAACGAUGCAUAACCGACCUGAGAGGGUGAUCGGCCACACUGGAACGGAGACACGGACCAGAGUCCUACGGGAGGCAGCAGUAGGGAAUCUUCCGCAAUGGGCGAAAGCCUGACGGAGCAACGCCGCGUGAGUGAUGAAGGUCCUCGGAUCGUAAAACUCUGUUAUUAGUGAAGAACAUAUGUGGAAGUAACUGUGCAGAUCUUGACGGUAACUAAUCAGAAAGCCACGGCUAACUACGUG